rnacentral:rRNA from 1 species
CGUCAAGUCAUCAUGGUCCUUACGCCCAGGGCUACAAACGUGCUACAAUGGCCGGCACAGAGAGACGCAAUGCCGCGAGGCGGAGCAAAUCUUCAAAACCGGCCCCAGUUCGGAUUGGAGGCUGAAAUUCGCCUCCAUGAAGCCGGAUUCGCUAGUAAUCGCGGAUCAGCCACGCCGCGGUGAAUACGUUCCUGAGCCUU